rnacentral:rRNA from 1 species
AUAUCACUAAGCGGAGGAAAAGAAACUAACCAGGAUUCCCCUAGUAACGGCGAGCGAACCGGGAACAGCCCAACUUGAGAAUCUUUGGCGCUUGCGCCAGAGAAUUGUGGUCUAUCGAGGCGGCUUCUGCGGGAGCCGGCGCCCAAGUCUCCUGGAAGGGAGGGUCCGAGAGGGUGAGAACCCCGUCGGCGCCGGCCGCCCCGCUCCACGAAACGCCUUCGGAGAGUCUUGUUGUUUGGGAAUGCAGCAAAAAGAGGGUGGUAAAUCCCAUCUAAGGCUAAAUAUUGACGGGAGACCGAUAGCGCACAAGUA